rnacentral:rRNA from 1 species
AACGAACGCUGGCGGCAGGCCUAACACAUGCAAGUCGAACGCCCUAGCAAUAGGGAGUGGCAGACGGGUGAGUAACGCGUGGGAACCUUCCCUGUGGUGCGGAAUAACUCGCCGAAAGGCGUGCUAAUACCGCAUAAGCCCGCAAGGGGAAAGAUUUAUCGCCAUAGGAUGGGCCCGCGUAGGAUUAGCUAGUUGGUGAGGUAAUGGCUCACCAAGGCGACGAUCCUUAGCGGUUUGAGAGAAUGACCAGCCACACUGGGACUGAGACACGGCCCAGACUCCUACGGGAGGCAGCAGUGGGGAAUCUUGGACAAUGGGCGCAAGCCUGAUCCAGCCAUGCCGCGUGAGUGACGAAGGCCUUCGGUUGU